rnacentral:rRNA from 1 species
UACGAAGGGGGCUAGCGUUGCUCGGAAUCACUGGGCGUAAAGCGCACGUAGGCGGCUUUUUAAGUCAGGGGUGAAAUCCUGGAGCUCAACUCCAGAACUGCCUUUGAUACUGAGAAGCUUGAGUCCGGGAGAGGUAAGUGGAACUCCUAGUGUAGAGGUGGAAUUCGUAGAUAUUAGGAAGAACACCAGUGGCGAAGGCGGCUUACUGGUCCGGUACUGACGCUGAGGUGCGAAAGCGUGGGGAGCAAACAGG